rnacentral:rRNA from 1 species
UGGGGAAUAUUGCACAAUGGGCGCAAGCCUGAUGCAGCCAUGCCGCGUGUAUGAAGAAGGCCUUCGGGUUGUAAAGUACUUUCAGCGGGGAGGAAGGGAGUAAAGUUAAUACCUUUGCUCAUUGACGUUACCCGCAGAAGAAGCACCGGCUAACUCCGUGCCAGCAGCCGCGGUAAUACGGAGGGUGCAAGCGUUAAUCGGAAUUACUGGGCGUAAAGCGCACGCAGGCGGUUUGUUAAGUCAGAUGUGAAAUCCCCGGGCUCAACCUGGGAACUGCAUCGGAUACUGGCAAGCUUGAGUCUCGUAGAGGGGGGUAGAAUUCCAGGUGUAGCGGUGACAUGCGUAGAGAUCUGGAGGAAUACCGGUGGCGAAGGCGGCCCCCUGGACGAAGACUGACGCUCAGGUGCGAAAGCGUGGGGAGCAAACAGG